rnacentral:lncRNA from 1 species
AUACAUACUAGCAUAUAACCCACACAUCCCAACACCAUGGGCAUCCGAGCAGUAGUGGCCACCUGCAUCUUUGUCCGUGCCGACGACUACCAGGCGUAAGCUGCAUGCACCGCCUGCAAGCAUGCGUGGGUAAGAUGUCUUGCACAUCCCAUGCGUGUGGGCCCACGUGCUGGGAAUGCGCAACAUGCAUGCAUCCCUAGCAUGCACACUACAAAUGGGUCACACGCCUCGCCCCUUGUGCAUGUGCGACCCAAGCACAGUCAACAG